rnacentral:rRNA from 1 species
UCCGUAGGCGGUGCGGCAAGUCGGGGGUGAAAUCUCUGGGCUUAACUCAGAGGCUGCCUCCGAAACUGCCGUGCUCGAGUGUGGGAGAGGCGAGCGGAAUUGCAGGUGUAGCGGUGAAAUGCGUAGAUAUCUGCAGGAACACCCGUGGCGAAGGCGGCUCGCUGGACCAUUACUGACGCUGAGGGACGAAAGCUAGGGGGAGCAAACAGGAUUAGAUACCCUGGUAGUCCUAGCCCUAAACGAUCAGGACUUGGGGUGUCUCCCGUUCGGGAGACGUCCCGGAGCUAACGCGUUAAGUCCUGCGCCUGGGGAGUACGGUCGCAAGACUGAA